AGAGCACUCCUACGGGAGGCAGCAGUGGGGAAUAUUGCACAAUGGGCGCAAGCCUGAUGCAGCCAUGCCGCGUGUAUGAAGAAGGCCUUCGGGUUGUAAAGUACUUUCAGCAGUGAGGAAGGUGGAUAUGUUAAUAGCAUACUCAUUUGACGUUAGCUGCAGAAGAAGCACCGGCUAACUCCGUGCCAGCAGCCGCGGUAAUACGGAGGGUGCGAGCGUUAAUCGGAAUUACUGGGCGUAAAGCGCAUGCAGGUGGUUUGUUAAGUCAGAUGUGAAAGCCCGGGGCUCAACCUCGGAAUUGCAUUUGAAACUGGCAAACUAGAGUACUGUAGAGGGGGUAGAAUUUCAGGUGUAGCGGUGAAAUGCGUAGAGAUCUGAAGGAAUACCGGUGGCGAAGGCGGCCCCCUGGACAGAUACUGACACUCAGAUGCGAAAGCGUGGGGAGCAAACAGGAUUAGAUACCCUGGUAG
rnacentral:rRNA from 1 species